UACGAGGGGGGCAAGCGUUGUUCGGAAUUAUUGGGCGUAAAGGGUGCGUAGGCGGUUUGAUAAGUUCUGUGUGAAAUCUAUGGGCUCAACCCAUAGUCUGCACGGAAAACUGUCAGGCUUGAGAAUGGGAGAGGUGAGUGGAAUUUCCGGUGUAGCGGUGAAAUGCGUAGAUAUCGGAAGGAACACCUGUGGCGAAAGCGGCUCACUGGACCAUUUCUGACGCUGAUGCACGAAAGCUAGGGGAGCAAACAGG
rnacentral:rRNA from 1 species